rnacentral:rRNA from 1 species
UACGUAGGGACCAAGCGUUGUUCGGAUUUACUGGGCGUAAAGGGCGCGUAGGCGGCUUAACAAGUCACUUGUGAAAUCUCCGGGCUUAACUCGGAACGGCCAAGUGAAACUGUCAAGCUAGAGUGCAGAAGGGGCAAUCGGGAAUUCUUGGUGUAGCGGUGAAAUGCGUAGAUAUCAAGAGGAACACCUGAGGUGAAGACGGGUUGCUGGGCUGACACUGACGCUGAGGCGCGAAAGCCAGGGAGCAAACGGG